UCUAGAGAAAAGAAACAUUUUCUAGAGGCCAGAAGACCUGGGAAUUAUUUUUGACUCUGAUAAUUGGCUUUGUGACCUUGGACGAGUCAUCCCCGUUCUUGGGGUCUUCAUUUACGUCUGUGCCGUGAGCUUGUAUGUUUAUGUGUCUCUGUGUCCCUGGGCAUGUGUGUAUAUUAGUGCCGGGAGGUCCUCUUCAACUCUUAAGCCCGAAGAGUCUUCGGAAUCUAGAUGCAGCUGGUUAUUAAUAGCUCCAGAAUGCUCUGUGCUUUAAGGUUACAUAACGUUUCCUAUUAAACAUCCGUAUAAACAGUAAAGAAUGGGCCAUUACAAACAAUCGUCUUGAUUAUCCUAAGGGGGAGCACUACCCUGAGUAUGUGAUGAAACAACUUUUCAUCUCAAAAACAGUGAUGCCAGUUUCCCCAUCAGGGCGCCUUGUGGGGUGGAGUCUCGGCACGCAUCCGAGAGGGCUGAGCCAGGACCCUCUCUAGGGUCCCUGUGCCAGGAGCCGCAGGAGCCCUUACGUAAUUUGGGCCCACGGAGUAUGAGAAAUGUCACUUCUAACUGUAUAGCUUGAGGUCCAGGGGCCGUGGAGGUUUCUCCGUAGUCUUUUCAGGCUGUUCCUGGAAGGUAGGAGGGUAAGUGUGUAAUUACCGUUUGCAGUUGUUUUGAAAAUGGAAAGUACUUUAAUUAGAGCCUUGAAUUCAGCUGAAGCUGAGAAAUGGUGAGAAGUUUGUCGAUUUGGCAGUGGUGUUUUUGCUGGGUUCCCUGGGCAGGCUGGCUUGUCACACUUAAGCAGUCUGCGGUCAGAGGUCAGCAUUCCUAGCGAAGCUGCAAUUGUUGUCAGAUAAAGAGGGUGGAAGAAAGGAACCACCAGUCUUUACACAUUUAUUCCUCCCGACUCUGCUGCAGAGUAGAUCUUCUGAACCCCUGUUCUAGAUUCAGAGCCCGAACUCAGAGAGCUGCAGUGUGUCACUCAGGGUCACACAGUUGUGGAAUGGCAGAAAAAAAGCACAAUUUCAAGGGCUGGGGUUGAAAACACACCCCCGCCCUUGCCCCUCAGACUUCAUUUCCAUGGGUGCUGCAGUGUGUCUGGAAACCAAGUUGUGUUUUUCUUGUCGAAUUUCCAAAUAGCACCAUGACACAGAGAGAGCAUGAAGCUCUGAUGUAGGUA
rnacentral:lncRNA from 1 species